UACGGGGGGAGCAAGCGUUGUUCGGAUUUACUGGGCGUAAAGGGCGCGUAGGCGGUCGUGACAAGUCACUUGUGAAAUCUCCGGGCUUAACUCGGAACGGUCAAGUGAUACUGUCGGACUAGAGUACAGAAGGGGCAACUGGAAUUCUCGGUGUAGCGGUGAAAUGCGUAGAUAUCGGGAGGAACACCAGUGGCGAAGGCGGUUGCCUGGAGCUUGCUGACGCUGAGGCGCGAAAGCGUGGGGAGCGAUCCGG
rnacentral:rRNA from 1 species